GUUGAAACACUGCUUCCUGUAUUAUCACCGAAGUUAAGCAACGUCGAUCCUGGUCAGUACCUAGAUGGGUGACCAUUUGGGAAUACUAGUUGUUGUG